AAACUUAGGCUAAUGCA
rnacentral:tRNA from 2 species